rnacentral:RNase_P_RNA from 1 species
GAAGUUCGCCAGGCAGUCGCUGCGUACCUCGUGUGCGUGGAGGAAAGUCCGGGCCCCGCAGAGCAGGAUGCCGGCUAACGGCCGGGCGCCGUGAGGCGACGGAAAGUGCAACAGAGAGCAGACCGCCGAUGGCAUGGGCUUCGCUGCCGCAAGGCUGCAAGGUCCUUUUCGAAGCGUGGGUUCUCCGGAAACGGGGAGUCUGCGUUUCGGGCGCACAGGCAAGGGUGAAACGGUGGGGUAAGAGCCCACCGCAGGACUGGCAACAGGACUGGCACGGCAAACCCCAUCCGGGGCAAGGCCAAAUAGGGGAGCAUUGGCGUGGCUCGCGUCGCUCCCGGGUAGGCUGCUAGAGCGCCGUGGUAACGCGGCGCCCAGAGGAAUGACUGCCCGAUGGUUCCGGUUUGCGCCGGGGCUGUUCGACAGAACCCGGCUUAUCGGCGAACUUCCCGA